GAGUUUGAUCGUGGCUCAGAUUGAACGCUGGCGGCAGGCUUAACACAUGCAAGUCGAGCGGGGGAGAUUGCUUCGGUAAUUGACCUAGCGGCGGACGGGUGAGUAAUACUUAGGAAUCUGCCUAUUAAUGGGGGACAACAUCUCGAAAGGGAUGCUAAUACCGCAUACGCCCUACGGGGAAAGCAGGGGAUCACUUGUGACCUUGCGUUAAUAGAUGAGCCUAAGUCGGAUUGGCUAGUUGGUGGGGUAAAGGCCUACCAAGGCGACGAUCUGUAGCGGGUCUGAGAGGAUGAUCCGCCACACUGGGACUGAGACACGGCCCAGACUCCUACGGGAGGCAGCAGUGGGGAAUAUUGGACAAUGGGGGGAACCCUGAUCCAGCCAUGCCGCGUGUGUGAAGAAGGCCUUAUGGUUGUAAAGCACUUUAAGCGAGGAGGAGGCUCCUGCAGUUAAUACCUACAGAGAGUGGACGUUACUCGCAGAAUAAGCACCGGCUAACUCUGUGACAGCAG
rnacentral:rRNA from 1 species